UACGGAGGAUGCGAGCGUUAUCCGGAUUUAUUGGGUUUAAAGGGUGCGUAGGCGGGAUGCCAAGUCAGCGGUAAAAAUGCGGUGCUCAACGCCGUCGAGCCGUUGAAACUGGCGUUCUUGAGUGGGCGAGGAGUAUGCGGAAUGCGUGGUGUAGCGGUGAAAUGCAUAGAUAUCACGCAGAACUCCGAUUGCGAAGGCAGCAUACCGGCGCCCUACUGACGCUGAGGCACGAAAGCGUGGGUAUCGAACAGG
rnacentral:rRNA from 1 species